CCUACGGGUGACUGCAGUGGAGAAUCUUUCUCAAUGGGCGAAAGCCUGAUCCAGCGACGCCGCGUGAGGGAAGGAAGCCCUUCGGAUUGUAAACUCCUUUUAUGUGGGAGCAAAUUAAAAAAAGUGUACCUUUAUGUAUAGAGUCUACGAAUUAUGUGCCAGCAGCCUCGGUAAUACAGAGGUCUCAAGCGUUAUUCGGAAUCACUGGUCGUAAAGUGUGGGUAUGCUGUUUCGUAAGUCGUGUGUGAAAGGCGCGGGCUCAACCCGAGGACGGCAAGUGAAACUGGGAGACUAGAGUAAGGGAGGGGUAGGCGGAAUGCGUGGUGUAGCGGUGAAAUGCGUAGAUAUCGCGAAGAACACUGAUGGCGAAGGCGGGUUCCUGGACAUUAACUGACGCUGAGGCACGAAGGCGUGGGUAGCGAAAAGGAUUAGAUACCCCAGUAGUC
rnacentral:rRNA from 1 species